rnacentral:rRNA from 1 species
AGCAGCCGCGGUAAUUCCAGCUCCAAUAGCGUAUAUUAAAGUUGUUGCAGUUAAAAAGCUCGUAGUUGAACUUCGGGGUUUACCCAUUGGUCAGGCUUAAUUGUCUGCACUGGUGAGAUGAAUCUCUACCUUCUGAGGAACUUUCAUGCCAUUUAUUUGGUGUGAUGGGAAAUCAGGACUGUUACUUUGAAAAAAUUGAGUGUUUAAAGCAGGCUAACGUCUGAAUACAUUAGCAUGGAAUAAUGAAAUAGGACGGACUGAUUCUAUUUCGUUGGUUUCUAGGAUCACCGUAAUGAUUAAUAGGGAUAGUUGGGGGCAUUAGUAUUCAAUUGUCAGAGGUGAAAUUCUUGGAUUUAUUGAAGACUAACUACUGCGAAAGCAUUUGCCAAGGAUGUUUUC